GAUCAUGGCUCAGGAUGAACGCUAGCGACAGGCUUAACACAUGCAAGUCGAGGGGCAUCAUGAGGUAGCAAUACCUUGAUGGCGACCGGCGCACGGGUGAGUAACGCGUAUGCAACCUGCCCGAUACCGGGGGUAUAGCCCAUGGAAACGUGGAUUAACACCCCAUAGUACUUUUAUCCUGCCUGGGAUGUGAGUUUAAAUGUUCAAGGUAUCGGAUGGGCAUGCGUCCUAUUAGUUAG
rnacentral:rRNA from 1 species